rnacentral:rRNA from 1 species
UACAGAGGGUGCAAGCGUUGUUCGGAAUUAUUGGGCGUAAAGGGCGCGUAGGCGGUUCGGCAAGUCUCUAGUGAAAUCUCUGGGCUCAACUCAGAGUCUGCUGGGGAAACUGCCGGGCUUGAGACCGGGAGAGGUGAGUGGAAUUCCCAGUGUAGCGGUGAAAUGCGUAGAUAUUGGGAGGAACACCAGUGGCGAAGGCGGCUCACUGGACCGGUACUGACGCUGAG